GAAUGGGGCAAGCGUUGUUCGGAAUAACUGGGCUUAAAGCGUCCGCAGGCGGACUUAUAAGUCAGGAGUGAAAUCCCAGAGCUCAACUCUGGAACUGCUCUUGAAACUGUAAGUCUAGAAUAUUGGAGAGGUUGGGAGAAUUCCUAGUGUAGAGGUGAAAUUCGCAGAUAUUAGGAGGAAUACCAGUGGCGUAGGCGCCCAACUGGACAAUUAUUGACGCUCAGGGACGAAGGCGUGGGGAGCAAACAGGAUUAGAUACCCUGGUAGUCCACGCAGUAAACGAUGUAUGCUAGUUGUCAGGCUCUUAGAGUUUGGUGACGGAGAGAAAUUUUUAAGCAUACCGCCUGGGAGUACGGCCGCAAGGCUA
rnacentral:rRNA from 1 species